CGGGCAGGGAGACAGUGUCAGGUGGGCAGUUUGACUGGGGCGGUCGCCUCCUAAAAUGUAACGGAGGCGCCCAAAGGUUCCCUCAGAAUGGUUGGAAAUCAUUCGCAGAGUGUAAAGGCACAAGGGAGCUUGACUGCGAGACCUACAAGUCGAGCAGGGACGAAAGUCGGGCUUAGUGAUCCGGUGGUUCCGCAUGGAAGGGCCAUCGCUCAACGGAUAAAAGCUACCCCGGGGAUAACAGGCUUAUCUCCCCCAAGAGUCCACAUCGACGGGGAGGUUUGGCACCUCGAUGUCGGCUCAUCGCAUCCUGGGGCUGUAGUCGGUCCCAAGGGUUGGGCUGUUCGCCCAUUAAAGCGGUACGCGAGCUGGGUUCAGAACGUCGUGAGACAGUUCGGUCCCUAUCCGUCGCGGGCGCAGGAAAUUUGAGAGGAGCUGUCCUUAGUACGAGAGGACCGGGAUGGACGCACCGCUGGUGUACCAGUUGUUCUGCCAAGGGCAUCGCUGGGUAGCUAUGUGCGGACGGGAUAAGUGCUGAAAGCAUCUAAGCAUGAAGCCCCCCUCAAGAUGAGAUUUCCCAUUCCGCAAGGAAGUAAGAUCCCUGAAAGAUGAUCAGGUUGAUAGGUCUGAGGUGGAAGCGUGGUGACACGUGGAGCUGACAGAUACUAAUAGAUCGAGGACUUAACCUAU
rnacentral:rRNA from 1 species